UCAGGKCAGGCUGUCGUCAGCUCGUGUCGUGAGAUGUUGGGUUAAGUCCCGCAACGAGCGCAACCCCUAUCUUCUGUUACCAGCGAGUUAAGUCGGGGACUCAGGAGAGACUGCCGCAGACAAUGCGGAGGAAGGCGGGGAUGACGUCAAGUCAUCAUGCCCCUUAUGGCUUGGGCUACACACGUACUACAAUGGCUCUUAAUAGAGGGAAGCGAAGGAGCGAUCCGGAGCAAACCCCAAAAACAGAGUCCCAGUUCGGAUUGCAGGCUGCAACCCGCCUGCAUGAAGCAGGAAUCGCUAGUAAUCGCAGGUCAGCAUACUGCGGUGAAUACGUUCCCGGGCCUUGUACACACCGCCCGUCACACCACGAAAGUCAUUCACACCCGAAGCCGGUGAGGUAACCGCAAGGAGCCAGCCGUCGAAGGUGGGGGCGAUGAUUGGGGUGAAGUCGUAACAAGGUAGCCGUAUCGGAAGGUGCGGCUGGAUCACCUCCUUUCUAGGGAA
rnacentral:rRNA from 1 species